rnacentral:rRNA from 1 species
CUACGGAGGGGGCUAGCGUUGUUCGGAAUUACUGGGCGUAAAGCGCUCGUAGGCGGCUUGUAAAGUCGGAUGUGAAAGCCCCGGGCUCAACCUGGGAACUGCAUUCGAUACUGGCAGGCUAGAGUAUAGUAGAGGCAAGUGGAAUUCCGGGUGUAGCGGUGAAAUGCGUAGAUAUCCGGAGGAACAUCAGUGGCGAAGGCGACUUGCUGGACUAAUACUGACGCUAAGGAGCGAAAGCGUGGGGAGCAAACGGGAUUAGAUACCCCAGUAGUCC